rnacentral:rRNA from 1 species
UACAUGCAGUCGGACGGGAUCCGGGGGUAGCUUGCUACCUUCGGUGAGAGUGGCGCACGGGUGCGUAACGCGUGAGCAACCUACCCAUAUCAGGGGGAUAGCCCGGAGAAAUCCGGAUUAACACCGCAUGCAACCAAUGGACGGCAUCGUUUUUUGGUUAAAUAUUUAUAGGAUAUGGAUGGGCUCGCGUGACAUUAGCUAGUUGGUGGGGUAACGGCCCACCAAGGCGACGAUGUCUAGGGGCUCUGAGAGGAGAAUCCCCCACACUGGUACUGAGACACGGACCAGACUCCUACGGGAGGCAGCAGUAAGGAAUAUUGGUCAAUGGGGGCAACCCUGAACCAGCCAUGCCGCGUGCAGGACGACUGCCCUAUGGGUUGUAAACUGCUUUUGUCGGGGAAUAAACCCCACUACGUGUAGUGGGCUGAAUGUACCCGAAGAAUAAGGAUCGGCUAACUCCGUGCCAGCAGCCGCGGUAAUACGGAGGAUCCGAGCGUUAUCCGGAUUUAUUGGGUUUAAAGGGUGCGUAGGCGGCACUUUAAGUCAGGGGUGAAAGACGGCAGCUCAACUGUCGCAGUGCCCUUGAUACUGAAGUGCUUGAAUGCGGUUGAAGACGGCGGAAUGAGACAAGUAGCGGUGAAAUGCAUAGAUAUGUCUCAGAACACCGAUAGCGAAGGCAGCUGUCUAAGCCGUUAUUGACGCUGAUGCACGAAAGCGUGGGGAUCGAACAGGAUUAGAUACCCUGGUAGUCCACGCCCUAAACGAUGAUACUCGAUGUUUGCGAUAUACCG